rnacentral:rRNA from 1 species
AAACAUGUCUUUUUGAAAAUAAUUUAAAGUCUAAUCUGCCCACUGAUNAAAUUAUUAAAGGGCUGCAGUAUUUUGACUGUACAAAGGUAGCAUAAUCAUUAGUCUCUUAAUUGGUGACUUGUAUGAAAGAUUGGAUGAAAUAUAUACUGUCUCUAUUUAAUUUAUAAAAUUUAAUUUUUUAGUAAAAAAGCUAAAAUGAAUUUAAAAGACGAGAAGACCCUAUAGAGUUUAAUAAUUUAUUUAAUUAUUAUUAAUGUAUAAAUUUUAAAAUUAAAAUUGAAUAAAUUAUUUUGUUGGGGUGAUAGAAAAAUUAAAUUAACUUUUUUUUUAUUUUAUACAUUAAUUUAUGAAUAAAUGAUCCAUUAAUAAUGAUUAAAAGAAAAAAUUACCUUAGGGAUAACAGCGUAAUUUUUUUUUUUAGUUCAAAUAGGAAAAAAAGUUUGCGACCUCGAUGUUGGAUUAAGAUAAAAAUUAAAUGCAAAAGUUAAAA